rnacentral:rRNA from 1 species
CAUGCAAGUCGGGCGGUAACACAGGGAGCUUGCUCCUGGGUGACGAGCGGCGGACGGGUGAGUAAUGUCUGGGAAACUGCCUGAUGGAGGGGGAUAACUACUGGAAACGGUAGCUAAUACCGCAUAACGUCUUCGGACCAAAGUGGGGGACCUUCGGGCCUCAUGCCAUCAGAUGUGCCCAGAUGGGAUUAGCUAGUAGGUGGGGUAAUGGCUCACCUAGGCGACGAUCCCUAGCUGGUCUGAGAGGAUGACCAGCCACACUGGAACUGAGACACGGUCCAGACUCCUACGGGAGGCAGCAGUGGGGAAUAUUGCACAAUGGGCGCAAGCCUGAUGCAGCCAUGCCGCGUGUAUGAAGAAGGCCUUCGGGUUGUAAAGUACUUUCAGCGAGGAGGAAGGCAUUAAGGUUAAUAACCUUGGUGAUUGACGUUACUCGCAGAAGAAGCACCGGCUAACUCCGUGCCAGCAGCCGCGGUAAUACGGAGG